GACGAACGCUGGCGGCGUGCUUAACACAUGCAAGUCGAACGGAAAGGCCCUGCUUUUGUGGGGUGCUCGAGUGGCGAACGGGUGAGUAACACGUGAGUAACCUGCCCUUGACUUUGGGAUAACUUCAGGAAACUGGGGCUAAUACCGGAUAGGAGCUCCUGCUGCAUGGUGGGGGUUGGAAAGUUUCGGCGGUUGGGGAUGGACUCGCGGCUUAUCAGCUUGUAGGUGGGGUAGUGGCUUGCCAAGGCUUUGACGGGUAGCCGGCCUGAGAGGGUGACCGGCCACAUUGGGACUGAGAUACGGCCCAGACUCCUACGGGAGGCAGCAGUGGGGAAUAUUGCACAAUGGGCGGAAGCCUGAUGCAGCAACGCCGCGUGCGGGAUGACGGCCUUCGGGUUGUAAACCGCUUUCGCCUGUGACGAAGCGUGAGUGACGGUAAUGGGUAAAGAAGCACCGGCUAACUACGUG
rnacentral:rRNA from 1 species